rnacentral:rRNA from 1 species
CGUGUAGGCGGAGAUGCAAGUUGGGAGUGAAAUCCCGGGGUUUAACCCCGGAAUUGCUUUCAAAACUGCAUCCCUUGAGUAUCGGAGAGGCAAGCGGAAUUCCUAGUGUAGCGGUGAAAUGCGUAGAUAUUAGGAGGAACACCAGUGGCGAAGGCGGCUUGCUGGACGACAACUGACGCUGAGGCGCGAAAGCGUGGGGAGCAAACA